CCUACGGGAGUCAGCAGUGAGGAAUAUUGGUCAAUGGGCGGAAGCCUGAACCAGCCAAGUAGCGUGCAGGAUGACGGCCCUACGGGUUGUACCCUGCUUUUAUACGGGAAUAACGCGCCUUACGUGUAGGGCUUUGCAUGUACCGUAUGACUCAGGACCGGCUAAUUCCGUUCCAGCAGCCGCGGUAAUACGGAAGGUCCGGGCGUUAUCCGGAUUUAUUGGGUUUACAGGGAGCGUAGGCCGCAUGUCAAGCGUGCUGUGAAAUGGCCGGGCUCAACCCGGGCCUUGCAGCGCGAACUGGCGUACUUGAGUCCGCGGAAAGCAGGCGGAAUUCGUCGUGUAGCGGUGAAAUGCUUAGAUAUGACGAAGAACCCCGAUUGCGAAGGCAGCUUGCUGCAGCGGAACUGACGCUGAUGCUCGAAAGCGCGGGUAUCGAACAGGAUUAGAUACCCGGGUAGUC
rnacentral:rRNA from 1 species